ACGCAAAUUUAAUAAUGAAUCAAAAUAUUUAUACACAGGGGCCUUGAAGUCCUUAGUACAAAAACGGCUACCUGCUACCUAGUCGAGAGGGCUUCUUCAAAGGACAGGACGAGUACCACGCUUGUGAUACCCUCAUAGGUUUCCGCCAGGGCUCUUACGAUCCUCAUAGCCUCAUCACAGUCCCACAACAUCAAGACCAAAGAAUGUACGAAGAUCUUGGCAGACUCCUUGGACAGGUUUGUUGCCCAGACUCGGCGGUGCCAUCGAGGCAUCCUCAGACUUGACAGCGGCCGCCUCGCCUCAGCACAGGGCGGCCACCAUACUGCAGCACCAAAAGACUGCAGUAGUGGUGUUUUGCCAUGUCACCAGGAUUAGAGGCUCAAAGGAUUCUCGGUGCAAGAGUGUCGAUUAUCAAAUACUGGCAAGAAUUGACUGUCACCUUACUAUAUCCAACAGGUCAGCACAGGAGUUGCAUGCAGCACCAGUAUGGCUCACCAUACACUUCCCCUCACACUGGUGGUGUUGACAUGUCUUGUGAACACCUCCCCUUCCGUGCUCCUGCCUCUCACAGCUCUGCAGGUGAUGCCAGGCGAGUCAUCAGGAUGUGGAUGAGGAGACAGGAGAGCCAGUGUUCCAAGUGCCGCUGCCACCACCACCACCGCCAGGAACACAGAUUCACAGGCAUCUCUACCAAGAGGGGUCUUUGAGUCCUUUGAUAAAUUGAACUUCCAAGAGAGAGAGAGAGAGAGAGAGAGAGAGAGAGAGAGAGAGAGAGAGAGAGAGAGAGAGAGAGAGAGAGAGAGAGAGAGAGAGAGAGAGAGAGAGAAUCUUAUGAACUCCCAAGUGACUCCACACCACCAUGAGCUGUGCUCAGGAUUGUGUUCCACAGGGGAUGAGGAACUACAACUUGGUGACUGACUAACCAGUGCCGCCCUGCAGGAUAUUCAGGAUGGCAGUACUUGUGCAUUAACACUCCUGACCUUAAAUAAUAGCACUGGGGCCCUGCAUCAUCCUCGGCCUCGCUGACGGCCCGUGUAAAACAAGAAUUCAGCUCUGGAUCUUCAGCUUGCACCCUCACAAGAAUACUGCAUGAGACAGGAGUCUGACUGUCAGCACCACAACUGCAGGGUCCUGUUUAUCAACAUGAAUGGAGGAUGUACCAUUUAAAGGAGAAUCACAAAAAGCAGUCAACAAGGCACAAAUCUGGAUCACCCUGGCUAAUAGGCUCCGCAGCAGUGGAGAGAGUGACAUGCUGAGGGAGAUCGGGGCUAGAUGCACGACUCGUGCUGCGCGUCACGGCACGUGCAGGGAACGGGUCAGGAAUGGCAGCCUCCAACUGAGCAGUGUUAUUCUGUUGGGCAGGAAUGGAUGACGCCACGGCUGAGGUAGACACGAGGUUACCCGCAAGCUCAUUUCCUAACAGUGGUCACGCCAUCAACAGGGAUUUGAUCCACAACUAAUGUGACGUACCCAGACACAACGGGGGAACACAAAGACAUCCAACACGGGGGAAUCCUAGCCCACCUGUCACACCACUCACCAGUGCCCAAUUACCAGUGUGACAAUCCCCUCAAAAAUGGGCUGCUGAUUUAGUAACAAAGGACAGCUGCACCUGUGUCGUGAAGGACUCUGACAGGGAAGGAGGGUGGACUGAAGUGAUCAGCAGCUACAGGGAAGGAGGGUGGACUCAACUGAUCAGCAGCUACUGAACCAUGAGAAAUGAAAGAUUCAAAGGAGCUGUUGAAGGAGGAACAUUAACUGAGUGAUUACUGGCAGUGACUGGAGGACAAGGUUCCAAAUUAUCUCUCAAAUGUGUAGCCGUGCUGACCAAGAGAGGGGGAGCACUCUGCUGUGACGGCCCGUGUGGUAAUUUCCAGCAGUCUUGUAUCGUGUGAUCCGCUCCACUUACAAUAUCAACAGAAAAGAGGAAAUCUCACCAACAGAGCUUGUACCAGCCCCCCGGUGGCCACCAUUCCCACCUGACAUGUGCUGAGAAUGUGACAUCCCAGGGAAAUGGCAGAGUCACCUGACCACUUAUUGUUGCCUGCUUGAGAAACUGCAGGAUCCUGAGACAGGUGAGGAGUGUAAACAGCCUGCCUGGACUGGGAGGAGGACUAGGAGGAAGCUGCAUAAGGCCUGUAAUUAUACAAUGAAUGAGUAAGAGCACACAAGCCAGCAAGUGGACUCGCUUCACCAAGGGUACACACUCUUCUGUUUUGUAAAUGUUCCUGAAUGGCUGAAUAUUUUUUUUGCAUCCUCUGACAAUAACAAGUGAGACAAUGAAUAAAAAUCAUUUUUGAGAUUUUCACUAUCAAGGUAUUUCCUAAAGACUAUGGUCUUUCUCCUAAAGAAUUCUACAAAGGUCUGUCCCUCACUCCUCCAACACUGGCAGAACUGUUGCCAAUAGGGCUCAGGUACAAGCAAGGCACUCCAAACAGCUUGCUUUACCAGCUGGUGGUUCUUACACUGGUCAACAGAUAAACAUGAAAAUACCUCCAGGGCUUUACCGAUGAGAGCCAGUGGGCAAGCAAAGACCACUGCCAAAGACAUACAGACCAUAACAAUGCAUCCUACACUAAACAUUACACUAGAGUCAGUUGGCACUUGAUGUGCUGUGGCAUCCAGCUUCCAACACCCAGUACUGCCUGUAGACAACCUCCAUCUAGCUCUUCCUGACGUCAGACCCUGCGACAAGGCACCACCAGCCUUGAUUGCAGACAGGAUGGCACCAGGUGGGUAGCACAUCUAGCACUGGCUAUAGACCCCUUCCGUUUGCCUCUUCCUAACAUCAGACCCUGCAACAAGGCACCACCAGCCUUGAUUGCAGUCAAUGUUUGCCGGCAGAAGAUAGAAAAGUAAUGCAACUUAAGGAAAAUGGAUGGUUAUGAAGACAUUGAACUUAAAGAAUAAAGAAUAUCACUCAAA